rnacentral:rRNA from 1 species
CAGCUCGUGUCGUGAGAUGUUGGGUUAAGUCCCGCAACGAGCGCAACCCUUGAUCUUAGUUGCCAUCAUUAAGUUGGGCACUCUAAGGUGACUGCCGGUGACAAACCGGAGGAAGGUGGGGAUGACGUCAAAUCAUCAUGCCCCUUAUGACCUGGGCUACACACGUGCUACAAUGGACGGUACAAAGAGCUGCAAGACCGCGAGGUGGAGCUAAUCUCAUAAAACCGUUCUCAGUUCGGAUUGUAGGCUGCAACUCGCCUACAUGAAGCUGGAAUCGCUAGUAAUCGCGGAUCAGCAUGCCGCGGUGAAUACGUUCCCGGGCCUUGUACACACCGCCCGUCACACCACGAGAGUUUGUAACACCCGAAGUCGGUGGGGUAACCNUUUUUGGAGCCAGCCGCCUAAGGUGGGA